rnacentral:lncRNA from 1 species
CAUCUUCGAGCGAGGGUUGCGACCGUCGAUCUUCCGGUUUGUGCAAUCCUCUAACCUCCAAACCUACCGGGAGGUGGUGGAUCUCGCGCUCAUCGUGGAGAGCGGCGCGGCAGAUGUCCAGGAGCGGCGAGAGGCUAUGAACAAGGGUAAGGCCAAGAGGCCUGCGGCUGAGGGUGCGAGCCAGACGCACUCUAGGAGGCCGCCGAAGCAUCCUAGGAGCUAGCAGCAUGGGCGUGGCUCAGCGACUCACCGUGGAGGAUCUGACCGACGCCGACCUCCCCAGUGCGUGAUCUGUGGUGGUCCCCACAUUCCAC